GAGUAUGUCGUUACACAACCAUUGUAGCAAGAAUACAAAACUCGCAUAUCUCCAUACGCACAUAUCCCGAAUCCAUAACAAAACAGCUACAGCUCUGAUACCACUGUAGGGCUACGAGGUAGGCUACGCUAGCAUAAAAUAAAAGUUUUUCUACCGUGUAAACCAGGAAAACUGUUGUAUAUGGAUCACGGGAUUACCACUCGACGCACUGGUGCGGAAGAUGUAGAAUCGUGUCGGGGCAGCAAAGUCGAUCAGCGUAGUUGAACACGUAGUCGAUCACGUCGA
rnacentral:lncRNA from 1 species